rnacentral:rRNA from 1 species
UACGUAGGGGGCAAGCGUUGUCCGGAUUUACUGGGCGUAAAGCGCGCGUAGGCGGAAGCUCAAGUCUGGCCUGAAAGCCCCCGGCUCAACCGGGGAGUGGGGCUGGAAACUGGGUUUCUUGAGGGCGAUAGAGGAGUGUGGAAUUCCUGGUGUAGCGGUGAAAUGCGUAGAGAUCAGGAGGAACACCCGUGGCGAAGGCGGCACUCUGGGUCGGCCCUGACGCUGAGCCGCGAAAGCCAGGGGAGCGAACGGG